rnacentral:lncRNA from 1 species
CGAAAGAAGGCUUCCCAGGCACCCAAGAGUGCAGAGAUGCCUGGGUCUGCAGUCGCAGCUUGGGAGGCUGAAGCUGGACCCAGGAGGGAGGAGCUCCUCCCUGCUCCUGGUCCCCAAGAGCACAGGAAUGCCUGGAUCUGCAGCCGUGGCUGGACAGCCGCAGCUGCGCCUGGGAAGCAGGAGGCUCCUGUCCUGCCAACUCAGAAGUGGACUGGGCUUCUGCUUACUCCUGGCUCCUCCUGGCUCUGUGGAGCUGCAGCCACGGCCAUGCCUCCCCCAUUGCAGCCUCCUUCAUGGCAAUAGCCGCUCCAAAUGGACCACCGCUGCCAUCAAUAUAAUUGCAAUAGAAAUAGCAACACUUUCACCUCCUGAAAAUAAGAAAAAUUAUCACUGGCCUCUGGGUUUCUUUCCUCAAAAUCAACGUUGUGGAACCCA